UAGCGUAGUGGUUAAGGCUAUGGAUUGCCAAUCCGGAGACGGCGGGUUCGAUUCCCGU
rnacentral:tRNA from 1 species